CUAGAUACGCCACUGGUGAUUCCAAUCACAUUUGGAUUCUUGACAAACUUUUAGAGUUGCUACCAAUUUAAACUGCAUUCAUACAUGUACAGUCAAACUUGUCUAGUCAACAAUACCGUCCUGCAACUCUGCUGAAGUUAUCCACACAUUCACAGCCACACAUUCCAGAUGGUAAAAUAAUUACAUUUUUGUGGUUUUGGCAGUUAUUGUAAGAAAAUGUGUGGGCGUAAUUAUUGCAGGGCUCAAUGAGAAAAUACCAAUGACCAGUUACUAUACAUUUUAUAGGUUAUAAUAGCUUGGAUCAAGAACAACUGAAUCACUGAUCUACAAGGAUCCAGAUCUCGCUGGAGAGGCAUUGGUAGUGUGAUGGAUUGACCAUUAACUCUGUAUUUUUUGACUUUCAUAAGAUACAUUAAUGAUUAUUAUGAAUUGUAAUUUAUUGUCUUGUGUGUUUUUCUUUGAUUUCUACAGAUCUAAUAUACAAUUAUUAUAUUGUCUUCCUUAUGUGUAUUGCAGAUUUGAAAUAAAUCAAUUAUCAUUAUUAUUAUUA